rnacentral:rRNA from 1 species
UACAGAGGUCCUAAGCGUUGUUCGGAUUUACUGGGCGUAAAGGGUGCGUAGGUGGCGGGGUAAGUCUGGUGUGAAAGCUCCGAGCUCAACUCGGAAAAGCAUUGGAAACUAUUCCGCUAGAGGGUCGGAGGGGAGACUGGAAUUCUCGGUGUAGCAGUGAAAUGCGUAGAUAUCGAGAGGAACACCAGUGGCGAAGGCGAGUCUCUGGACGACUCCUGACACUGAGGCACGAAAGCUAGGGGAGCAAACAGG